CUCCUAUUUAUUAACUCUGAGACAGUAAACUGUGAGCCUUGUACUUAGAGUGACCCUGAUACAUGUGAAGUGCAAAGUACUCUUACUACUCUUUUAGGUCUCUGGCUCAAGCUUUACAAUGGUCUUAAUGAUCAGGGCAGCAGAUUUUCCUGGAACUAAAGGAGAGAUGGGUGAGGAGCAGAUGGAAAGUCAGCCAUUCCAGAGUGCUGCAGGCUUGAGCACUGAAAAAUGCUGAGCACGUAUCUGCUCCCUACCUUGAAGAAGAACAAGCCCACAAUUGGACAGAAGCUAGGCGUUUUGUCCCUUCCUCCUACAAAGGAGCUGGCAUAGGUCUGGGCUCAACAGAAGGCAUGGAGAGCUUAUCCC
ensembl:lncRNA